rnacentral:rRNA from 1 species
ACGCAGGCGGUCUGUCAAGUCGGAUGUGAAAUCCCCGGGCUCAACCUGGGAACUGCAUUCGAAACUGGCAGGCUAGAGUCUUGUAGAGGGGGGUAGAAUUCCAGGUGUAGCGGUGAAAUGCGUAGAGAUCUGGAGGAAUACCGGUGGCGAAGGCGGCCCCCUGGACAAAGACUGACGCUCAGGUGCGAAAGCGUGGGGAGCAAACAGGAUUAGAUACCCUGGUAGUCCACGCCGUAAACGAUGUCGAUUUGGAGGUUGUGCCCUUGAGGCGUGGCUUCCGGAGCUAACGCGUUAAAUCGACCGCCUGGGGAGUACGGCCGCAAGGUUAAAACUCAAAUGAAUUGACGGGGGCCCGCACAAGC